UACGAAGGGGGCUAGCGUUGUUCGGAAUUACUGGGCGUAAAGGGCGCGUAGGCGGUGUGUUAAGUCAGGGGUGAAAUCCCAGAGCUCAACUCUGGAACUGCCUUUGAUACUGGGUAUCUCGAGUAUGGAAGAGGUGAGUGGAAUUCCGAGUGUAGAGGUGAAAUUCGUAGAUAUUCGGAGGAACACCAGUGGCGAAGGCGGCUCACUGGUCCAUUACUGACGCUGAGGUGCGAAAGCGUGGGGAGCAAACAGG
rnacentral:rRNA from 1 species